UACGGGAGGCAGCAGUGGGGAAUAUUGCACAAUGGGCGAAAGCCUGAUGCAGCUAUGCCGCGUGUAUGAAGAAGGCCUUAGAGUUGUAAAGUACUUUCAUCGGGGAGGAAAAAACAAAACUAAUAAUUUUAUUUCUUGACGUUACCCGAAAAAGAAGCACCGGCUAACUCCGUGCCAGCAGCCGCGGUAAUACGGAGGGUGCUAGCGUUAAUCAGAAUUACUGGGCGUAAAGAGCACGUAGGUGGUUUUUUAAGUUCAGAUGUGAAAUCCCUGGGCUUAACCUAGGAACUGCAUUUUGAAACUGAAAUACUAGAGUAUCGUAGAGGGAGGUAGAAUUCUAGGUGUAGCGGUGAAAUGCGUAGAUAUCUGGAGGAAUACCUGUGGCGAAAGCGGCCUCCUAAACGAAUACUGACACUGAGGUGCGAAAGCGUGGGGAGCAAACAGGGAUUAGAUACC
rnacentral:rRNA from 1 species